rnacentral:piRNA from 1 species
UGCAAGAUAUCAAUUCAAGAA